GACGAACGCUGGCGGCGUGCCUAAUACAUGCAAGUAGAACGCACAGUUUAUACCGUAGCUUGCUACACCAUAGACUGUGAGUUGCGAACGGGUGAGUAACGCGUAGGUAACCUGCCUGGUAGCGGGGGAUAACUAUUGGAAACGAUAGCUAAUACCGCAUAAUAUUAAUUAUUGCAUGAUAAUUAAUUGAAAGGUGCAAUUGCACCACUACCAGAUGGACCUGCGUUGUAUUAGCUAGUAGGUGAGGUAACGGCUCACCUAGGCGACGAUACAUAGCCGACCUGAGAGGGGGAUCGGCCACACUGGGACUGAGACACGGCCCAGACUCCUACGGGAGGCAGCAGUAGGGAAUCUUCGGCAAUAGACGAAAGUCUGACCGAGCAACGCCGCGGGAGUGAAGAAGGUUUUCGGAUCGUAAAGCUCUGUUGUAAGAGAAGAACGGGUGUGAGAGUGGAAAGUUCACACUGUGACGGUAUCUUACCAGAAAGGGACGGCUAACUACGUG
rnacentral:rRNA from 1 species